CGGCCCACUAACAUCUCGAGUUGAACAUUCAAACGGGACUUCCACUAAAGUGCUUAUUCUUUAGAGGAAAAUGAUCUUAUACUUAUAGAAGAUCAUUCAUUUCGAACCAAUUCAUGUAAGAAGUGAUCGGACAUCGCCCCACGACUCCGAUUCUCUUAUUUUGAGUUUUGCAUAUUUAUUAUGAUUUCCAAGUCUCAUCGUCAUGGCAAGAGUUUCGUUUCUCAUUUGAUAGAACGGGUUGUUCCACGAGUAGAUGCUUUAUGGAAGACAAAAGCAGUUCCUCAUUACAAGCUCAAUGAAUCUUCA
rnacentral:lncRNA from 1 species